rnacentral:lncRNA from 1 species
GACUGAAAUAUGACUUCGAAAUGACGUCAUCAUGACGUUAAUUUUAGGUCAUGUAAAAAAAUGGUCAUUUUGACGACAUAUAACCAAAAAAGACCAUUUUGAAACGUCAAAAUGACGUGGGCUUGCUACCUGGGUGUUGUAUCCUCGUUUAAACGUUUGACAAACAAGGACGAUGCACCACGCGCAUGAAACGGAACGCACCCUAGCUGCGUUCGGUUUCAACGCAUGAUGCGCAUAAUGCAUUGUUCAUCCUUAACGUUUGACAAACAACAAGGAUGAACAAUGCAUCAUGCGUAUUAUCAUAGAUCUUAUAUACCUGGAUACGCCUUCCUCAUUAGAAGAAAAGAGAAAACGGAAGUCUAUACUUCUAUCCUUCAGAGAACAUGUCAAAACGCAUGCAUAAAAUGACGUAUUCAAUAUGGCAGACAAUUUGAACACCAGGGGGUCAAUUCUGUAACUUUUAUCGUGGUGAACAUGCGAGCCAACUCACAAAUCUUGAUUCUGUAACUUUCAUCAUAGUGUAAAUGCGAGCUAUCUCACGGAGUUUGUUCGGCAAGAAAUUUCUUGUCGAAUGGUGAAAUCUGAGAGAAAAAACUGAAAGAUAGACCGAGAAAGAAAACAAGGAGCAUCACAUUCGCGACAGCAAAUACACAUUUUUCGACGCGUUCUGUAAUUAAGCACUUUCAAGUUCUUCAAUAAAAAAUGGCAAUGUUCAUGGCUGCAAUUAUUUUAUUUGAUGACGAUGACGAAGAAAAUGAUAACCAAGUUAUGAGAGUAAUGCAAAGGACACUUAGAGAUGUCUCAGAUCCUUUCUUGGUUCCCGAUGAUGAAUUUUGUAAGCUAUACUCCAGAUAGCACAUGAUAUUCUGAGAAUAUCCUAAGAAUAUUCUAAAAUUAUUAUGUAUGAUAUACGUAGUACAUACUCCAUAUAUAUUAUGAUAUACUCACGAUAUACUCAGGAUAUUCCUAUGUCCGCCCUUUCACUGUUCUCAGAAUAUCUUAUACGAUAUUCUGAGGAUAUACAUAAAAUAUUGUCAGUAUAUUUCCUAGUAUAUUCGAACAAUAUUUUGUGUAUAUUCUCAGAAUAUUAUAAACGAUAUUCUGAGGAUAUUCUGAGAACAGUGAAAAAACGGACAUAGGAAUAUUCUGAGUAUAUCAUAAUAUAUAUGGAUCGAUCGAGUAUGUCCUACGUAUAUCGAUCGUGACACAUACAAAUUCCAAAAUUCGCGAAUAAAAAUACUAUAGCGAAAAAUUUAUCAAAAAAUUAAUUAAAAUAGUUAUUUGCAGAUUUUUCAAGAAAUAGAUUUUGAGAUAUAAAGGCUGAAAGUUAAUCAAUCAGAGAUUACGUUAAGAUAGUCGUUUAUCAUCAUGCGCGGUCAUUAAUACAUAUACUAUUGCACACGAGCGAUAGUAUUAAUAAUUCACGAACAUGCACAGUUUAAAAACGUAGUUUGUGAUUGGUUAUCUUUGUACUUUUAUAUCUUAAAAACUUUCUUGAAAUAAAAAUCUGCAAAUAAUUAUUUUACUUAAUUUUUUGAAAAUUUUUUUACUGUUGUUUUGAUUCGUAAAUUUUGGAACACCCUAUAUAUUCCGCAUAUUGGCAUGUUUAGAAUACACAUAUUGGUGUAUACUGAACAUAUCGGUAUUAAGUCCAGGAUAUUCAUAAAAUAAUAAGCUUACAAUGUUUUACGGGAAUUUAUGAUAGCAAAUCUCAGAAUUUUUCUCUGUAUACACCCUAAAAAUAUUCAAAGAUUUAAAUAAUUAUUAAACAAUAUUCAUAAUGUAGGCUUCAUAUUAUAUUAUAUCAGAUUACAGUUUUUUGUACAAAAUGAUGUUCGUACUUGUAAUAAAAUAUCAGGCAGAGUUUCUUAUAAUUAAAUAUCACAUCAUCAUUGCACUUCUUUAUGCGAACUUUGUAUGAGUAAUACGAACAAAAGUAACAAACAAAA